rnacentral:rRNA from 1 species
GCAGUUGUCCCACCUGAUUCCAUACCGAACUCAGAAGUGAAAAGCUGUAACGUCGAUGGUAGUGUGGGGAUUCCCCAUGUGAGAGUAGAGCAUCGUCGGGG